UUGUACAUAACUAAUUAGUUUAUUGCUUAGUUUAGAUUGGAUUUUUAAUUUUAUUUCUUGAAUCCUCAACCAUAAAUUAUGAUUAUAAUUUUAACCCUUGCCUUAGAAAGCUUGGGAGUAUUCAUAUUACAAUGAUUAGUUGCAUUCAAGUUGGGGAGAAAAUGUUGGUUACUAUGAGGUUGAGAAAGAAAAAGAAUUGAAUAAGAAAAAAAAAGAAAAAAAAAGAAAAAAAAAGAAAAAAAAUUAUGCUAAUAAGUUGUGUGAAAGGGUGUAACAAUUGUGCAAUGAGAAAAAGGUGAAUGAAAUUUGCGAAUGCUUGAGAUUGUGAGAAGUGAUCACUCCCAUAUGAUUAGGA
rnacentral:lncRNA from 1 species